rnacentral:rRNA from 1 species
CAUUACAGAGAACCUGCCCUUUGGGUAGAUCUCCCACCCUUUGUCUACUCUACCUUUGUUGCCUUGGCAGGCCCGUCGUAUGACCACCGGCUUCAGCUGGUCAGUGCCUGCCCGAGGACACCCAAUUCUUGAUUUUGUGUUGUCUGAGCAUCAUAUAUAAUCGUUAAAACUUUCAACAACGGAUCUCUUGGUUCUGGCAUCGAUGAAGAACGCAGCGAAAUGCGAUAAGUAAUGUGAAUUGCAGAAUUUAGUGAAUCAUCGAAUCUUUGAACGCACAUUGCGCCCUUUGGUAUUCCAGAGGGCAUGCCUGUUCGAGCGUCAUUACACCCUCAAGCUCUGCUUGGUAUUGAGUGUCACCUAUUAUGGUGUACCUAAAAUUCAGUGGCAGUGCCAUCGGCCUCCAGCGUAGUAAUCUUUUCUCGCUGCGGAGGUUUGGGUAAGGUACUUGCCAGCAAGCCCUAAUUUAUCAAUGGUUGACCUCGGAUCAGGUAGGGAUACCC